CUCCCCCGGCCACCACCCUCCCCAAGCUCUCCUCAACCUCCCCCUCUUAUAGAUCGCCACAGCAAGCGUUAUGGGCGGAAGGAGAGGGCGGACGCGGCUCUUGGCUGGGACGUUGAUCACGGAAUGCUUGAUGGGCGCGGGAUCGUUGGAAUCGGGGAAGAGGGUCGUCCGGGAUGCUGGGAGGCUGAGAUUUGGAAACGGAAGGAGGGAGGCACGGGCUGAGGUGCGGGGAUUUGGCCGCAAACGGCUAGAGACGCGGUGGAGACACGCUGCGGGACCACUGCUAGCAUCACGGAAGAGGGGAAAACGUGGAUCCACGGGAGAGGGCUGAGACGCUGGGAAUCCGGAA
rnacentral:lncRNA from 1 species